UACGGAGGGUGCAAGCGUUAUCCGGAUUUACUGGGUUUAAAGGGUGCGUAGGUGGGUUGGUAAGUCAGUGGUGAAAUCUUCGAGCUUAACUCGGAAACUGCCAUUGAUACUAUCAAUCUUGAAUCAUCUAGAGGUAAGCGGAAUAUGUCAUGUAGCGGUGAAAUGCUUAGAUAUGACAUAGAACACCAAUUGCGAAGGCAGCUUACUAUGGAUGCAUUGACACUGAGGCACGAAAGCGUGGGGAUCAAACAGG
rnacentral:rRNA from 1 species